GAUAAACGCUGGCGGCGUGCAUAACACAUGCAAGUCGAACGAAGUGGCGAACGGGUGAGUAACACGUGAGUAACCUGCCUUACACAAGGGGAUAGCCUUUGGAAACGAAGAAUAAUACCCUAUAGUGUAAGAUGGACUUGCGUCUGAUUAGCUAGUUGGUGAGAUAAAAGCCCACCAAGGCGACGAUCAGUAGCCGGCUUGGGGGAGUGUACGGCCACAUUGGGACUGAGACACGGCCCAAACUCUACGGGAGGCAGCAGUGGGGAAUUUUGCACAAUGGGGGAAACCCUGAUGCAGCAACGCCGCGUGCGGGAGACGGCCUUCGGGUUGUAAACCGCUUUCAGCCAUGACGCGGUAGUGGCAGAAGAAGCACCGGCUAACUACGUGCCAGCAGCCGCGGUAAUUC
rnacentral:rRNA from 1 species